CAGUAUAUAGUUUAAUAAAUUAAAACUUAGGUUUUGGAUAUCUAAAAAAUGUAAAUUUACAUUAUUCUGA
rnacentral:tRNA from 1 species